UACGGGGGGGGCAAGCGUUGUUCGGAAUUACUGGGCGUAAAGGGCGCGUAGGCGGUCUGCUAAGUUGGAUGUGAAAACUCUGGGCUUAACCCAGAGCCUGCAUUCAAAACUGACAGGCUAGAGUUCUGGAGGGGGAAGCGGAAUUCCUGGUGUAGCGGUGAAAUGCGUAGAUAUCAGGAGGAACACCCGUGGCGAAGGCG
rnacentral:rRNA from 1 species